ensembl:lncRNA
GGUGUUUCCGUUUUGAGAAGAGAUAAAAAGUUUCCUGGCUUUUAUUCACUUCUCCGUGGAGCCUGCCCUGGUGGCCAGGCCCUCUCGGCCUGCUCCCUUCUUGAAUGACUGGGAGCACUCAAGGAACCAAGGCAGAACAAUGCCAGGUGGCCAAAUGGCAGAACCGGUCCAAACUGGAGAGGUCCAAGAUGGCGAUGGGGUGCCGUGUGCAAAAGGAAACGUGUGCAAAAGGUACUGUGUGCAAGAAGGGAAGCUCUGCGCAUGCCCAAAUGCCCCUGCCCCGAGUGAUGACGCAGAGACCACCCCCCUCUUCGCAUCCCCUAAGAACCUGCUCACUUUCCCUUCAGAGAGAAGGUGUUUUAGCCCACGAGCUCUGCCUCCUCCGUUCAUUGAUCAGUGAUCAUUUCUGCUCUGAUGUUCCAAGGGUGUCGUUCUAUUGGCGUGGGUGGCUCCAGGCAAAAAGACCCACUUCCGGGUCAUCGGUCCCUUGCGGCUCAGUAACAAAUUCAUAAGCCCUUAGUUACCCAAAGAAUCCUCUCUAAAUUUUCCAGGACCACACCUUAAAAAAUAACGAAUCAAAUGAUGUUGUGUCGUUAGGUAUAGCUACUCACAUAAUGCUUGUUACCUCUCAGAGUCUUUUCAUUUAUAUCACAGUGUCCCACGUAAAAAGUACCUUUGACACCAUGACUCUAAUUCCCUUAGAUAGGUGGGUGACAAGAGAUUUUCACAUAUUGAGGUAUAUGGGGUAACUAUUUGGGUUCAAAAUUGAUUCGGCUUGAACUAAAAAGCCUGGCUUAUGGCAUAUCAAACACACAUUGUACAUCUGCUUAACCAUCGAAGUAAAGCGUGCCCUCUCUUCAGAUAAGAAUGCAGACUUCCCCCCUCCCUUAUUGGUAACACCUUUAAUACUCCCUUUCCCCACAUUGGGGUCCUGUUGACCUGCUAAUUCGCAACUAAAUACCUCUUUGAAGCUUUGAAAAUGUAUCCUGGGUGUGUUUACUGUAUGCUCUUUGUUCUAAAAAGAUAUAAGACUGUACUGAAAACCACGCUUCUCUGGAAUGCUUUCUAAGGCCUUCCCGGCUUAUACUCUUCACCCUGGCUUGAGUAAACCUCACCUUAAUUCUCUUAUCCUAGAAUGGUUAUCGAUGGUUUUGCAUCGACACAGGGAAGCAGGCCCACAGAGGAGGUGCUUUUCCAGGAUACGCAGCUGAUUAUUGGCAGCCCUGACGAGAAUCCAGGAGGAAUGAUUCUCAGCUUUACCACUUGGCCAGGCUGCUUCAAAGGUCUUGUUUCCUUGAAGGCGUCAACCUUCAAAAGCAGGAAGCAGUUUAAGAGGCAAAGCGUUUAUUUGGGAUCAAAGAAUUGCAAUUUGGGGAGCACAGAUUCAGGGGGAAACCCAAAUAGUCUCUCUCUAGGGAGUAAAAGUCAGGGGCUUUUAAAGGCAAAGAAGGAAGGUUGCAUUAUGGAGAAUUUUAAUUGGAGUUGGAGGCAGAAAGCUAGUCUUAGCUAAACAUUGAUUGACUAUUGAUUCUAUCUUCAGAAAAAGCAAAGUCAUCAGUCUUUGUGGUUGGACGUCUGCUUUCCUGUUAGCAUUAUGAACAAGUGCUUGGAAGGCAACACUGACCCGGUCCAGUCCAAAGCUUCAAGGGGAGGAUGUGCAGGCAGUUCCUCUGAAAUGGCUACUCCGGCUCUUUUUAAAACGGCUCCAAAAGUUAUGUCAACUUUUCACAAAGGGUUGUUAUUUGUUCCAGCUAUGUAAGAGAGUUGUCAGGGAAAGCUAAUUAAUUAAGCAAGAUGUAAAACAAGCUAGGAUCAAGAUGUGUAUAUUUCAGUAAGAAUGAGUGUACCGGAUGCUUUUGGGAAGAGGUGUUAGACAGAGUUUGGGGUGGUGAGCACCUGAGUUUGAGACACCAGAGGACACCCCAAGAGGACAAAGGCGCUGGUAAGAAGGAUGGGCAAGACCUAGAAGAAAAAUAUGGCCCACCGCCGCAGUCAUGCUCCAUCAGCCAGAUGCCGGAGCACAAGCACAGCAAAACAACUGCACGUGUGAAGCAGCUCUAUGUGGUAGACAUUUAUUGAAAACUCAGAG